rnacentral:rRNA from 1 species
GCGUGCCUAACACAUGCAAGUCGAACGUCCUUUCGUCUUUCGGGACGAGAGGGAGUGGCGGACGGGUGAGUAACACGUGGAUGAUCUGCCUUGAGGUGAGGAAUACCACCGAGAAAUCGGUGACAAGACCGCAUAUGCUUGGGCAACCAAGCAAAGUCACUUUCGGGUGACGCCUCAAGAUGAGUCCGCGGCUGAUUAGCCAGUUGGUGGGGUAAUGGCCUACCAAAGCAACGAUCAGUAGCUGGUCUGAGAGGACGAGCAGCCACACUGGGAUUGAGAACGGCCCAGACUCCUACGGGGGGCAGCAGUGAGGAAUUUUCGGCAAUGGACGCAAGUCUGACCGAGCAACGCCGCGUGCAGGACGACACUUUUCGGAGCGUAAACUGCUUUUCUCUGUGACGAGUUUGGACGGUAGCAGAGGAACAAGCCCCGGCUAACUACGUGCCAGCAGCCGCGGUAAUACGUAGGGGGCAAGCGUUGUCCGGAUUUAUUGGGCGUAAAGCGUCCGCAGGCGGUUGGUUGCGUUGGCGGUGACAGCGGCUCCCUUCAUGAGUCGAGUGCCGCCAAAACGAGCCAACUUGAGGCCGUGCGAGGGAGAGGGAACUCCGGGUGGAGUGGUGAAAUGCGUAGAUAUCCGGGAAGAACACCAAUGGCGAAGGCACUCUCCUAGCACGGAACUGACGCUGAGGGACGAAAGCCAGGGGAGCGAACGGGAUUAGAUACCCCGGUAGUCCUGGCCGUAAACGAUGACCACUAGGCGUGGGGGGUAUCGACCCCUUCCGUGCCGUAACUAACGCGAGAAGUGGUCCGCCUGGGGAGUACGGUCGCAAGAUUAAAACUCAAAGGAAUUGACGGGGACCCGCACAAGCAGCGGAGCGUGUGGUUUAAUUCGAUGCAACGCGAAGAACCUUACCAGGGUUUGACAUGGAGUCGCACCGCCUUGAAAGAGGCGUACCCGCAAGGGACGGCUUCACAGGUGCUGCAUGGCUGUCGUCAGCUCGUGUCGUGAGAUGUUGGGUUAAGUUCCCGCAACAAGCGCAACCCUCAUCGUCGGUUAUCGGUGUCCGGCGAGACUGCCACUCACAAAGUGGAGGAAGGCGGGGAUGACGUCAAGUCAGUCACGGSCCGUGCAMAUAUCCUGGGCGACACACACGCUACAAUGGACAGGACAAGGAGUUGCCAACCCGCGAGGGGGAGCUAAUCUUGCCAAACCUGUUCUCAGUUCGGAUUGGAGGCUGCAACCCGCCUCCAUGAAGUCGGAGUUGCUAGUAACCGUGAGUCAGCACAUCACGGUGAAUACGUUCCCGGGUCUUGUACACACCGCCCGUCACACCACGAAAGUCGGCAACCCCUGAAGCCGCCGGGCUAACCCGC